AGGAGAUGAGAGAAACACUGAAAACUGAAAAAUUAGUGGCUCCGGUUAUAUGAAUCAAACAAGACUAAACAAGAUAAGUGGUCAGAAACGGGCCCUCGAGGGACUGACUGAAAAGUAGCAGCUCUGCAGGAAGACCUUGAAGGAGAUCAUCAGCCAAAUUUUAUUCAGCUGGAAGCAUAGAGCGGUAGAGAUAAUAUCAUCUGGCUUACUGCUGUCAGCGUGAUGUCCUGGAGCAGAGUUUCCUCAACCAGCACCAGGAGUCUGUAUUGGACUAUGGGACCGUUGGGCUGGGCAGGGC